rnacentral:rRNA from 1 species
CGGACGGGUGAGUAAUGUCUGGGAAACUGCCUGAUGGAGGGGGAUAACUACUGGAAACGGUAGCUAAUACCGCAUAACGUCGCAAGACCAAAGAGGGGGGCCUUAGGGCCUCUUGCCAUCGGAUGUGCCCAGAUGGGAUUAGCUAGUAGGUGGGGUAACGGCUCACCUAGGCGACGAUCCCUAGCUGGUCUGAGAGGAUGACCAGCCACACUGGAACUGAGACACGGUCCAG